CAGGACAGGAAGGGCUAAUGAGAAACCCCUGUGCUGGGGCUGAGCCACAGGACUGGCUGGCUGGAAGAGAAGGGGCUUAUUAUCCUGAAAGGCUUGCUCUCAGGCCAAAAGAGUUCACUUUGGGUGGGAAAAGUUUUGGGGCAACCGAGACCAUUUGAGCCCCAGCACCCCUAUGGGCUUGCAUAGCAUCUCUGAGGCUCAACACCAGGCUGACCAGUAAAGCGUGGAGCUUGUGGCUGCUUGUUGCCUCUCUUUGGUACUGAACACCAUCAGCUCCCAUCAAUGGGAAUUGUGCAUGCUGAGCCUCAUAUAAGAGGCCCUCUGACCUAAGUUCGUAGAGAUCUGGAUGGAAACUACCAGAAGUUCCUGUGCAGAUGUCUUCUCCUGCUACACCACUGUCCUGAUGCUUCUUUGAAACCUUAACCCACCUAA